CUGGCACAGGAGCAGUGUCUUGACCAGGCUUUCAUGGCGGGAGUGAUUACUGGAUGAGCAUCAGAUUUCAUCAGAUUGAUAUCUCCUGAAGCUUUUGAGUUUUCAUCAAAGCCGUUGACAACAUGACAAUAUUCCAUCCGUGAUGCAAACUGGCUUAAACAGCGCCACCCACAAUAUUUCAACGAAACAGCCCCCGCCGCACAUUAAACCUACAGGACCUCUUUGGUUGGACACCUGGCAGGUAUCCUGGUGGGUCUUCUCUACACUGUGGGUCCACUGAAGACCAUCAUGAAGACAUGUGCAGGUCUGUGUGUGUGUGUGUGUGUGUGUGUGUGUGAGAAAAGAUCUGACACAGCAGCAUGAAAGGAGUGAAUCCAGCAUGCAAGCAGACUUCCAGAAGAGACUGGCAGUGUGUCAAGAUGAAAUGAAUAGGAAGUUGCAAGAGGAGAUGGACAAACAUCAGUCCGAGUUGGACAAUUUGAAGUGAAAGAUAAGUGUGAGGAGGAAAUCUAAAUCAGACGUUAGAAAACACACUGAAAGAGCAUGAAAAGGCUCUUGAGGCACAAGAGCACAAACAACAGAGGGAGAGGGAGAAAGUCAAAUCUAAAUAUUUCAUUUGUAUUUUAUUUUAUUUGCCAAAAGCAAAAGAAUAGUCGUUCUUGAGGCUAAAGUCUCAGCUCUAGAGAAGGAAUUGGCGACUUCCAACAAAGACAGGGACAAAUUUAAAGAACAGUUAAAGAUCGCCCAAAAGCAAAUUAAAACCAUUGUAAAGAACUCUAUUGUCUCUGAAGAAAAAAACAUGCGUGAAGAGAAAAGGCUGAAUAAAUCUCUGGCAGGACUUAUGCAGCAGUUGAGUGCAGGAGGUCUGGCUGCUUGCUUCUGACAGUUUCUUUAGUUUGUUUUUAAACUGAGUCAUAUAUCGAGUAAUAAGCUUAAAGUAACUGGAAUAACAAGUGUUAACUAGUGAAGUAACGGAUUGUAGUUGAUCCGUGAUUCAUACGGAUCGUCCCCCACAGUUCGGCAGGCAUAUAAACUGAGGAUUAAUUGCCAAAUUUAAUGUCUCAUUUAACACAAAGUAAACAAACUGCUGUAAGUACAAGUCAUGGGCAGACAGCA